rnacentral:lncRNA from 1 species
GGGGAGAGAGGAGGGUUCCAACAACCCCAGGCACCAGGAGCUGGGUGCCUUCCUCUGUUGUCCUCUCCAAGGAGAAGAGAGAGCUGGCCUGGACCUCCAGGGCAGAGCCACUUCAUACCUGCCCACACCUGGUCCUCCUUUGCUGGCAACAGAGUUCAGAGCUAGCACCAGCCACAGCAAGGACAAAGCCCAGCCCAGGCAGCUGCUGGAGCUGCAGGGAGUCCCAGGAAUAAAAUGCCCUGAGAAGUCCCUGAG